rnacentral:rRNA from 1 species
CCUACGGGAGGCAGCAGUGGGGAAUAUUGCACAAUGGGGGAAACCCUGAUGCAGCGACGCCGCGUGAGUGAAGAAGUAAUUCGUAAUGUAAAGCUCUAUCAGCAGGGAAGAAAAUGACGGUAACUGAGUAAGAAGCCCCGGCUAACUACGUGCCAGCAGCCGCGGUAUUACGUAGGGGGCAAGCGUGAUCCGGAUUUACUGGGGGUAAAGGGAGCGUAGACGGCAGUGCAAGUCUGGAGUGAAAGGCGGGGGCUCAACCCCCGGACUGCUCUGGAAACUGUACGGCUGGAGUGCAGAAGAGGUAAGUGGAAUUCCGAGUGUAGCGGUGAAAUGCGUAGAUAUAAGGAGGAACACCAGUGGCGAAGGCGGCUUACUGGACUGUAACUGACGUUGAGGCUCGAAAGCGUGGGGAGCAAACAGGAUUAGAUACCCUAGUAGUC